rnacentral:lncRNA from 1 species
CUACCACACACCCCAUGCCCUUCAGCACUCCACCUGGACCUGCUCAGCCUUCAGCCGGCACUGUCCUCACUCUUCCCCAGCCAACUUCCAUUCAUCCUUCAAAACUCCACAGAGGCAUCCUGUCUGAACACUCCCUGCCUCACAGGUCGGCCACUCUGGGAACCCUUCUGCCCUUGUCCCUUCAAGUUGGCAUGCACUUGCCAUGUCACCUCCAGCCAUUCACAUGCAUGCCUCCCUCUUUCACCACAGCCUUGUCCUGCCCACUCUACUGCUCCACUUGACACCUAAUGACCCUCGGCACAGACUUGGGGAGCCAAAGACCCUGCCAUCCUCAGGGAUGUGUCAUGCUGGCAGUGCUGCCCUCUGUGGAAGGAAAUCUUCAGCCACUCUGACAUGUCCUGGGAAUAAAGAGGGUAGUGACUCCUCCCUGGCCACCACAAGCUGUCCUGCGGGCUCAAUGACCUGUUCAACAGCGACUUGGCAGGUCUGUUCCCCUCUCCAAACCCAGCCUUGCCCUGAAAUGAAGCACAGAGUCUCCCCCUCAGCUGGAUCCAGAGCGGCCUCUGCCUCCAGCCUCCUCCUCUUCCUCUCCUGCUCCAUGGGCCAGCCACACUGGGUGGACCUUUCUGUCCUCGUACACUCCUCCUGCCCCAGGCCUGCCCGGGGCCUGCCCGCCCCUACUCCUUCCGCACCCUGCUCCCUUCUACCCCGUCUUAGUUACUUUCUCAUUGCUAGGACAAAACACCUUCCAUCUACAAGCUAAAGGAGGAAAGGUUUAUUUCAGCUCAUGGUUUGUAGAGCUUUCAGUCCAUAGCGAGCUGGCUCCAAGGCAGGGUAGCCUGGCAGAGGGGCAUCGCAGAGGAGAAACAGUCCAUGGCAGGGCAGGCAGGAGGCAGCAGCAGUGAGCCUGCCUUCCUUCUUUUCGACUUACAUUCCAUCCAGGCUUGUUGGUACCACCCACAUCCAGGGUAGGGCUUCCAUUAGCCACACCUAGAGCUAUACCAAACCAAUCAGUGACCACACACCCUUAAUCCACAUUCACACACCCAGAUCCAGCCACUUUCAAAAAGCCGCACUCAUGAGUGCACAAGGCUUUGGGGGACAUCUAGACACAGGCUGUGACUCUCCCUUACAUGUGCACCCCAGCUGCUUGUCUCAAGCAGUGCUUCUUUUCCACUUAUGUGACUUCUUGCUCUCUGCCUGCCUCCCUGCUUCCCUCAGAGGAAUUGAGCAUGUCCUGUGUACGUAGCUGGCAUGCUUUGCAAUUGCCAAGUGGGUGACAGAAUCCAGGGAAGAUGCCGGCCACAGAUCAGCAUCACAGGAAGAUUGCAUAGAUUCCGCUGCCAGGCGCUGGGGUCUGGAGCAUGGCUGUCAGAAGGAAGCUCUGCUGCAGAUGGAAGGAGCCCCUCAGGGGCUGCAAGGAUGAAGUGAGAUGGUGUAUUUGAGGGCCAGGAGCAGCGUCUGGCACACAGCAAAUGCUUUUUAUCUCCUCAUUUUCUCCAGACAUAACCAAGCUGACUGCAUAUGCUGUUUCGGUCCUUCCCAAGCCCCGCCCAUGGCUGUCACUCCUCCACAAGACCAAAGGGACUCUCGGCCUAUCUCUCACAGGAGUGAUACAAAAACAGCCUGCUGCACAGAGUCAAGCUCUGCUGUUUCCCUUGUCCUGAAUUCCAAGAUUAUGAUAGGUGUUUUCAGGCAACCAUUUCUUCAACUCACAGAAAAUAAAGGAUGAA